UACAGAGGGUGCAAGCGUUUGUUCGGAAUUAUUGGGCGUAAAGCGCGUGUAGGCGGCUUUGCAAGUCGGGUGUGAAAGCCCUCAGCUCAACUGAGGAAGUGCGCCCGAAACUGCAUGGCUUGAGUACCGGAGAGGAUGGUGGAAUUCCCCAAGUAGAGGUGAAAUUCGUAGAUAUGGGGAGGAACACCGGUGGCGAAGGCGACCAUCUGGACGGAUACUGACGCUGAGACGCGAAAGCGUGGGUAGCAAACAGG
rnacentral:rRNA from 1 species